rnacentral:lncRNA from 1 species
AUGACUCGGAUCCCACUCAAGUUCCAUUCCAGCCAGCAACAGAUCAUCUUGCCAGAUGGUGCACAUCUGGACACCCCAGGCAGCAAGAGAGUUUGGAGAAACAUCUCGAAUGCAGGAGAGAUAAAAACUGAGGGAUGCUUGGUGUUUCCAAGAGUUCAAUCUGUCCUCCUAGAAAGGAAAGAAAGCAUCAUAUUAUUCUACAUUUGGCUUCAAUCAAGUUCAUUGGAUAUGGUCCUGGAGUUUGGUCUGCUGACAGUUGAUUGCUAAUACCUUCUCCAAAACAGGACUUCUGCCCAACAGAGUUGCCUUGCUCCUGAGAAAACAUGGGAGAACCAGCAGAAGACUCCAAGAUCCCAGAGGAUCCUGAAAUACUUGUUUCCGGACAGCGAGAAUCAGGACCUGCAAGUAAGAGAGCGCCACUGAGGACUGAAUCUACACAAUGAACUUGAAGAAUUAAGGACUGACUUUACUCUCCACUUUUAUCUAUGAAGUCAUAUCUUACAACAAAUAGCCUAAACUGGUGUAUAUAGCUGGUUCUGUGGAAGGACCAAGAAGACUUUAGAUGGCUCUUGUCUAAAGUCUUCGUGCAAGUACUUGAGAAACAAAACCAUUAAUUACACAUGAGGAAGGGUAUUCAGUAUUAUUUUUAAAUAAAAAUUACUAAUGUUUUUAGGUCUCA